rnacentral:rRNA from 1 species
CAGUCGCCGCGGGAAUACGAAGGGUGCAAGCGUUAAUCGGAAUUACUGGGCGUAAAGCGUGCGUAGGUGGUUAUUUAAGUGAGAUGUGAAAGCCCCGGGCUUAACCUGGGAACUGCAUCUUAUACUGGGUAACUGGAGUGCAGUAGAGGGUAGUGGAAUUUCCGGUGUAGCGGUGAAAUGCGUAGAUAUCGGAAGGAACACCAGUGGCGAAGGCGGCUACCUGGACUGAGACUGACACUGAGGCGCGAGAGCGUGGGGAGCAAACAGGAUUAGAUACCCCUGUAGUCCCUGUCUCUUAUAC